rnacentral:rRNA from 1 species
UACAGAGGGUGCAAGCGUUGUUCGGAAUUAUUGGGCGUAAAGCGCGUGUAGGCGGCUAAGUAAGUCGGGCGUGAAAUCCCACGGCUCAACCGUGGAAGUGCACUCGAAACUGCAUAGCUAGAGUCCUGGAGAGGAAGGUGGAAUGCUUGGUGUAGAGGUGAAAUUCGUAGAUAUCAAGCGGAACACCGGUGGCGAAGGCGGCCUUCUGGACAGUGACUGAUGCUGAGACGCGAAAGCGUGGGGAGUAAACAGG